ACUCUCUCGUCUUCCAUUCCCCACGCCGCCCGUCCACACCGUCCGGCGGCGCGUGGAUCCGGCCGGAGACGCCGUCCCUGCGGGUUGUUUCGAAGGGUACGGCCGAUGCGGCGGCGGCGUCGACCGGACGGCACCACGACUACUCGAGCUCAGCUCCCGUGCCCCGUAGUGCUUCUCCGACCCGGACCGCCGGUAACCCACAGUUGAUAAGUACACCCUUGACAUGAGGAGAUGUCCUAUUAACAUCAAGUCAGAGAUGAUCCUGUCACGCCAACAUGUCAAAGUCCUAGGUCUAGAUCUCGCUGAGGGAUGAAGCAAUGACUGUUCGUCUGCAGGUUCCAGGUGAAUGGCAGCCAAGCAAUGACUACUGGCUGCAUCAGCAGGAGGGGGAGAAGAUGGGCAUUGCCAUCGGGGUGGACAAAGGGAUCUGCCACUUGCACCACGGCUGCAAUAAGCCGAUUGCCAUCUUGCUUCAUCAGAAUUUCAAGGCCCUGAUAUAGCCAGUUUUGGCACUGCAACCAUGAAUAUGGCCGGGCUCAACCAACCGUUGCCAAUCAAGGACCUGUCUCUUGGUAACUUUGGUUAUGCUCCUCCAGGUGACGGAAAAGCUAGACGUUUACAGCUUCGGGGUGGUGCUGCUCCCUGCUGGAGCUCAUCACCGGACAGGUGGCCAAUGGACAAUUGGCAGUUGGGGCACGUGAGAAAUGCGAUGAACUGAUGGCAAACCAUCUGAAAACGUUCAAGAUUGCCGUACGUGGACAAGGGCAUCCGUGAUCAAGCGCGAUACAUGAAGUAGAUGACAGCCGUGUUCAGGCUGGGAGUGGAUUGCACCGUCAAGGAUCGGUAGAAAAGGCCGUCCAAGAAGAUGGCUCUCAAACGUCUCAACCGCUACGGUGGGCGUGCCCUAUUCCAUGGCCUCCCCACCUGCUAUCCUCUAUACAUCACCAGUGAGGAUGUAGGCAAAUCGAAUGAGAAAGUGGCAUGUGAGCUCAGCUCAGCUGAUGAACUGCCAUUGGCAGAGUUUAUGUUCAGUGGUACGUUGAAGGAUGAUCCAGGAGACCAGAUGGGGGACUUUGCUUUCUUGCUUUGUUUGGCAAGAAAAGCUUCAGGAUGCCCCAACCAAAGCCGAGGGAGGAUCUUGACCUCUACCAGUUGCAAGAGGCAGGGCGGAGGGUUGCGAACGUCCAAAUUGAAUGCAAGGAUGCGGUGGCAUGCUUGCUUCAGAACUGGAUACUAAUGCUGAAACGUGUUCUUCUGGCCUUACCAAUGACAGAUUCAGAUCAGACUGUUGAAUGAGUUGUUAACUCUUUCCAACCCGAUGUAAUGGAUGUCGUACUCGUUGGCCAGAGUGUCCAUGUUCCACCAGAUCAUGGAGAUGACGCAGGUGUUUGAAGGCAGCUUGACAGGAUCAUCAGACUGCUGUUGGAGGUCCUGCAGCAGUUGAUCCUGGCGCCCAGUCGAUCGGCGAGCCCAGCUCGAAGCGAAGCUCGAGGAGUCGGUCAGUAAGAUCACAAGGGAUACCAUUGUCUGUGGAAUCCCUGUAAUUGCAACUCCUCCUGAUGGUGUAGUGUGGUUUCGUUUGAUCAGAGGAGCUGAUGUGUGUAGAUGGAAGGCUAUCGUCAUUUGCUCCUGUUAUUGACAAGUGUUGUGCAGCAAGCUGCAUUGCCUGUGCACCAUAACACACAACAUUGUGCCAUCAUGGCAGUUAAAAUUUUGCGAGUUUAUAGCUAGGUUGUAGGAGUAGUAAGUUGUAGAAUUAAAUUGAUUGGAGUUGGUGCAGGGAUGCAAUAUGUGUUGAUUUCAUUUUGCUGUACACAUAAACUAGCUAGUACUACAAUGCUACCUGAAAUUCAUUCGGAUAUCAAUAUUUAAAUUGGACGAAUAUGUUUAUGUUGUUGCUUGCCAA